GAUAUGGUUUUCAGUGAAAGUGGGGAGUGCUGGUUUUAAGAAUGUCUGGCAGAGGAAAAAAAGCAGCCCCUAAACAAAAACCUACAGUGUCCCGUUCCUCCAGAGCAGGGGUCUCAUUCCCAGUAGGCCGUAUCCAUAGGCUGUUAAGAAGAGGAAACUAUGCAGAGCGAAUUGGCAAUGGAGCUGCAGUGUACCUCGCCGCUGUCCUUGAGUACCUUUGUGCCGAAAUUCUGGAACUGUCUGGAAAUGCAAGCCGUGAUAACAAAAAGCUGCGUAUAGCGCCACGCCACAUCUUGCUGGCUGUAAAGAAUGAUGAGGAACUAAGUCAACUACUUGUAGGAGUCACAAUCUCAGAUGGUGGUGUAAUUCCCAACAUCCAUGCAAGCCUACUCCCAAAGAAGACCAACAGUUCGAAAGAAGACGGCGCUGCCAAAGAUGUCCAGUCUCAAGAGUUUUAACUGCCUUUUUGUUUUUAAUUCAAGUUUAAUAAAAAUGUUUCUAAAUUAC